rfam:Necator americanus N_americanus-1.0_Cont615.27, whole genome shotgun sequence.
AUUUGCACUGUCAGGAAAGUCGGCAAAUUAGAUCCGUAACUUUGGGAAAAUAAUUGGCUUCAGUGAUCGGUCCGUUGGCCUGUUAAAAGAUGCUUGUGCGAUUUCAUACAUUGCUGGCAGAUGCUAACGAUGAACCUGGACUGGCGACGGGACUGCUUUCAAAUUGUGGACGUUUUCAGGUGUGCGCUCCCUUUUCGGGCUUUUUGUCCUGACCGACCAUCAAAAUGCUUAAAUAGGAGCUGGUGCGGACUCAGCGAAUCUCUCUAAUGACUCUGACUGUUGACUCUACCUUGACAUUCCGAAAAGUCAUGAGAGGUGUAGCAUUGUUGGGAAACUUCGGUCGCCAAUCAAAUGGAACCACUUUUAUCAAUUCUUUACUUUUUCGGUGAGGACUGAGUUUCUGCUCUUUUUUCUUUGUCUCAUGCAAAGCCAGCUGACAUUGCGACUCUCGCCGAAAACAGUGUCAGGCGGGAGUUUGACUGGGGCGGUACAUGUUUCAAUGGUAGAUAACUUCCUGAUCGUUCUACUUUUUCCCUUCGGAAUUUUCAUCUUUUUUCUUUUUGC